UUGAAGGUAGAGCUCAAACUCCUGUUUCCCGUAAAUCCCCGAUACCUUCUGCCUUUCUUAGCAUUAACCAGCCCCGUUUGCCAUCUGAAGACUAUUAUUUCACUGGGACCUGGACCUCUGGACCUCUGGGCAUGGGAUGACUAUAGAUUUCACAUUUGAAUGCAUGCAAGCAUGUAAAUAGUUGACUAUUACCAUUAAGAAACAACUGUUUUGGGGUGGCUAGCCCUUCAAAAAGGAGAUACACAUCUUCUAGAAGCCACAAAUGAUUAUGGAGAGUGCUUAGACUUGAGUUUGACCCACCUAUCUUCUUCACCAGCUGUGUGACCCUGAAGAGAGCUGACACCAGGGCCCUGCUGUGAGUGGUGUUCACAGCCCCUGUAGCCCGGGAAUCAAAGAGCUCUUUGACUUGAGGCGAAAGAAACUAGCAUUUACUCCAUCAAUAGUUGUGCAUGGAACUUAAUGGCAUCAUCCCAUUUAAUCUUCACACCUGGCCUGGGAAUUCUCAGGCCACAGAACUGGACCCCCACGGCUGUUCCUCUGCCUUGGUACCCAGUCUGCUCAAAGCCUGGCUGGGAGCAAGGGAUGUCACCUUGAAGCCCAGGAGCACGACCCCCAAGGUGCGUGCUGGAGCAUCCCCGACUCUCCCAUUCGUUCUGCUCUUGGCUCUCUUCAGUCCAGGACCAUGUCUGCAGGAUUGCCUGCUCCAGCCAGAAAUAAAGUUUCCUGAUUGGAUUCUUUGGUUUGCAGCCAGAGGGCCUCCCUAGCAGCCCAAACAUCUGUCCGUGGCCUUCACAGUGAGCCUGAGUUGUGGGGUGACCUAGAGCAGCUGGAUCGAGAAGCAACGGCUGGAUGCUUGCUGGCUUGGGAGACUUACCUGCAGCUUUGUUCCCAAAGAGGAAUGGCAGGGCAUUCCCGAAGGGGGGGAAAUAGCAUCUGCUUCCAGCUCCUGCUUCCACAAAGCUGCUACCAGGUCCUUGGCAUUGCGAGACACGCCUGGGGCUCUGGAAUAGGAGCUGCUAUUCCCUCCUGGUAUUUAAAAUCCACACACACAAACAAACAACAAGGCCCUAGCAUUUCUCUGACACCUUUUGCUCCUUUUAAGUAGAGCCCUUUAUAAUGGCACCUCCUGGUCCCUCUGUCCCCCCAGGGGCCCGCUUUGGCACCUCCAGCCUGGCUAUCCCCCUGGGGGGAGAGGUGGACAGGGAAGCACCAGAGUAGGAUGGACUGAAGGGGCCUUGAGAACCAGAGACCCAGGGAAGUGACUGGGGCAACUUAUUUGGUUUCCUAAACUUAUUCAACACCGCCCCCCACCCUGGGAUUUUUUACUAGAUCCUUCCCAAACAAGAAAACUGCGAGAUCAAAGGCCGGGGAGGCAUUUGUACUUCCUUAAAUCAGCUAUCAACAGAGCAAGAACUCUGUCCCUCCCCCUUUCCUGGAAUGUUUCAUUUUCAGUGUUAAUCACAGAUAUUUCCUGUGUUCAGAACUGUCCCAGACAAUCAGUCGUUCCUCCCGUAGGAUCAUCAUGCUCUAGUUUUACACUCAGGUUCUCUGUGUGAAAUGAGGGCAGCGCCGCUGAGAGGCCCAGGUGAAGCCCUUUACUAGCCACAGACCCCAGGCCAUUUGCUUUACCUCAGUGAGCCUCAUUUUCUCAUCUGUAAAACGGGGAUGAUGGCAGCUACCUCACAGCCCUCCUGGAAGUAUUAGGAAGAGGCAGGCCCAGGGUAGGCGGUCUGUUUGUGGCAAGUCUUCACUGAAGUGAACAUUUCAGAAAGAACAGAAUGCUUGGGGACUGAUCAGUAUUUCAGAAUGAUGUCUUUUGCACUAGCUUUUCCAGAGCUUUCCAAAACGAGGCCCACCAUUUCCUUCUCACCACUCCUGGUCCCUCCUUCACUCUACUCCUCAGUUCCUGUAAGAAUGCUCUGCCCUCACUCCCUUCCCACCCCUGCAGCCUCCGUUCUCACAUCCUGUAACCCCUCAACCCCUCCAUCUGUGCUUCCAAUUCCCAGAGUUCCUGCACCUGUGCCACUGUCCUUUCUCCUCAAUCAGGAAUGCCAUUUAUAUCUUACCACUAGAUCUAAGAUCAGAGAUCCUGCCUCUCUCCCAGAUACCAAGUGCAGGCCAGGAAACAUGCCAUGAACUCCUGAAUUCUUCUUCAGUGCAUAAAUUCAUCUUUAUUGCCUACCCUUAAAGAAUGAGUCAAGCAAAAAAUAAAGGUAUUUUCUCCAUUCAACCCCUUAGCUUGCCAUUUGAUCCUUUACAAUCUG